UACCCGGCCCGGACACUGUAAGGAUUGACAGAAUGAAGUUCUUUCUUGAUUCGGUGGGUGGUGGUGCAUGGCCGUUCUUAGUUCGUGGAGCGAUCUGUCAGGUUAAUUCCGAUAACGAACGAGACUCUAGCCUACUAACUAGCGCAGGCGGUGUAAUGAGACGUCGUAAUAAUGAGACACUUCUUAGAGGGACCAGCGGUGUGGCAACCGCGCGAAAUUGAGCAAUAACAGGUCUGUGAUGCCCUUAGAUGUCCGGGGCCGCACGCGCGCUACACUGAAAGAGACAACGAGGCAGGCCGGUACAGCUCUGACAAGGGCUUGUUAAACUCCAAACCUCUAUCGUGCUAGGGAUUAGGGUUUGAAACUGUUGCCUAUGAACGAGGAAUUCCCAGUAAAGGCGAGUCACUAGCUUGUGUUGAUUACGUCCCUGCCCUUUGUACACACCGCCCGUCGCUACCACCGAGCUUGCGGUUUAGUGAGGCUGUUGGAUGCGUCCUGGUUGCCGGCGUGUGGGGACGGUACGCCUUAACAGGUGGGCCAACCUGCACUAGGUCGGCUUCAAGUGGUGCGAGGAAGGCAUUCAAACUUGACCGCUUCUAGGAGGUAAAAGUCGUAACAAGGUUGCCGUAGGUGAACCUGC
rnacentral:rRNA from 1 species